UCGAGCGGAGAUAGGUGAGGAGCAAUCUGAAUUUAUCUGAGCGGCGGACGGGUGAGUAACGCGUGAGCAACCUGCCUUUUACAGGGGGAUAACGCAGCGAAAGCUGCACUAAUACCGCAUAAGACCACAGAGUCGGAUGGCUUGGUGGUAAAAGGAGCAAUCCGGUAGAAGAUGGGCUCGCGUCCGAUUAGGUAGUUGGUGGGGUGAAGGCUCACCAAGCCUGAGAUCGGUAGCCGACCUGAGAGGGUGAUCGGCCACACUGGAACUGAGAGACGGUCCAGACUCCUACGGGAGGCAGCAGUGGGGAAUAUUGGGCAAUGGGGGGAACCCUGACCCAGCAACGCCGCGUGAGGGAAGAAGGUCUUCGGAUUGUAAACCUCUGUUCCUGGAGAAGAGCAGAAGACGGUAUCCAGGGAGGAAGCCCCGGCUAACUACGUGCCAGCAGCCGCGGUAAUACGUAGGGGGCGAGCGUUGUCCGGAAUAAUUGGGCGUAAAGGGCGCGUAGGCGGCUCUGCAAGUCAGUAGUGGAAGUCCCAUUUUCAAGGUGGGGAGGGCUAUUGAAACUGCGGAGCUUGAGUGCAGGAGAGGUUAUCGGAAUUCCCGGUGUAGCGGUGAAAUGCGUAGAGAUCGGGAGGAACACCAGUGGCGAAGGCGGGUAACUGGACUGCAACUGACGCUGAGGCGCGAAAGUGUGGGGAGCAAACAGGAUUAGAUACCCUGGUAGUCCACACUGUAAACGAUGAAUGCUAGGUGUAGGGGGUAUCGACCCCUUCUGUGCCGGAGUAAACACAAUAAGCAUUCCGCCUGGGGAGUACGGUCGCAAGAUUAAAACUCAAAGGGAAUUGACGGGGGCCCGCACAAGCAGCGGAGCAUGUGGUU
rnacentral:rRNA from 1 species